CAUCCUUUAGCUUUCCAUCUAAAAGCGAUAAUCUUUGUGCAUCAGCCAGCGAGGCUUUUCCUUUACUGAAUUUUCCCUUCUACCUUUUAUCCACAGAAUUUACAAUGGCAUCUUUAAUCUGUUCCCAUAUCAGUUGGCUCUUUUCACUUUUUAUUAUCUCCUUCAUCUCCUCUUGGUGUUACCUGGUAGUUUCUUGAUGCCACAAUGACAAUGUCAAGCAAGUUCAAGUGGUUGUAGCACAGAGCUGGAAUCAUUCAGCUAUUGAACCUGCUGCUGACCCACACCACAUCCCAGAUAUUUGACCAGAAGUCAAGGAAUAUAUCUGAUCUGCCCCAGCAAUCACAUCCAGUGAUCAGAUUUGAGCCAUGUUGCUUGUCGGUUUUAAUCCCAUCAAUUGUGUCCAGCACAGUUGGUCUGAUGGUAGCUCAAGCGCUAAGAUUUGGAGUUGAAAUGAUUCCCAGCAGCCCAACAUAUCCCUAUAAUAUUUAUUUAUAUGGCACAUAUGGUAUUUCAGCAGGGCCAUGGGUUUCUCUGAGCUCAAGCCAUAAAUCCACAGCUAAGGAACUGGACAUGGUAGCCGGGAAAACCAACCUCAUCGAUGUGAUAUUUCCCAAGCAUGAGCUCCCUGAGAAAUUUCUUCAACCCAGCUGCAACCAAACACAUCAUCCUAAACACCCUCUUCUUUAUCUCAGCCUCCCCUGGCAUCAGAUGAGGAAUGAUUUGAAGGAUGCUUCAUCACCACAGGGUGGUUUUUCCUAAGGAUAAGAUCAGGGAAUUGCAGCGUUUCUUGGCAAAGGCAUGGAAAAACAUCCUGAUGUUGGAAGUGGACAAAAUGAACUUGGCAGAGAGAUGCAAUUAGUGCUGAGGCUAAUUAAAUGCUUGGCCCAGGAGGACGGAGAAGUCACCUUCCUUCAAGGGCUGCAAGGCAGGAUCACAUGGAUCAAAGCUCCUUUGUAAGAUGUCACUCAAGGAACAGGCCCUAGGUUCGAGAUGGCAUUUUUUGAGUUAAAACCCUGCAAAUCCCCCAUGCCCAGUUCAUCCUGGUGACCACAAUGGCCAGUAAUGUCUAAUAUCAAGUGAUAUGAAAUGAUCAGCCCCUCAGUGGCAAGGUUGGGAGCAGUGGGGGAAUUGAUUUAGAACUCUUUGCGCAGUCGUAAAACUUGCAGGUUUAUGGCUGGAGCUCCCUGAUACUCGGAUAUUAGAAUGAGAAAGAAACAAGCGUUGAUGCAAGCACGAAAAUAUUCUGCUCCUGAUUUAAAGACCAGCGAAUUGCUAAAUAUUUUUAUUAGCAGCAAAUUUGCAGCUUGCUGGAACUAAUUUCACGCCCGGUAGAUAUGGAGCUUAAGCUGGGGAUGGCGUUAAAUUACUCCCUUGUAAAGAUAUUUCAGCCUGAUGAUGGAGGUGCCUUCGGUCGGAUGGUGGGGACCUGGCUGGGGACCUCCUUCUUGGGGUGGCUUCUUGUGGGCUGGGAUGGUGGCUGGGAUAAGCUGAGGUCUUGAAGCGUUGAUACAAGCUCAUUAUUUCCCCCUUAAUUGCAAUAGGAACCACCAACACCCCCCCUCAUUUGCAUAAAUUUGCUUAUGGAUUUGUUGUAAAGCAACGCAGGAGUGGGACAGGGGCAAGACCCUGAGAUCCUCCAGCCUGGAAAGAUGAUAUUUCUAUUUUAGAGGUGGUUUUGGUGUCUUUUGGAGAUUAUUUUGUCUGCUCAGGGUUUAGUUGAUUUAAUUAAUGUUUAUAUUUGUUUAAUAGGUUUAAAAAUUAUUAAAAAUGAUUUAAUUGGUUUUAAUUGAUUUUUUUUUUUAAUUUAGGAUAUUACAGAUUUAGUUGAUUUAGGAAGUAGAUGAAGGCAUUCACAGCUGGAUCCCUAAGCACUGCUCGCCCUCCAUGCCCAUUCUUUCCAUGUCUUUCUUUUCAGCUGGAGGUUUUACACCUUGGAGAUGAUUUUCUAGCCUGAAUCCCACCCUCUUCCUCCUGCAAGGAAGCACCAGGAAUCACCCGGCUUAAUGCACUUGGGAAAGAACACCCCAUCCCGUUUUGUCUUCCUUGGAUACAAACCGGGACAGGUGCAGGGCUGGGGCCGGAGGAUGCGGAGCUGAAGAAAGCCAAGCAAAGGCGUCAGGAGGAUCUGAUUACCCCUCUAAAAAUACCUCUGGUAUUUGGACAAGGUGUAGUUUUAUGAUUAUUUAGAUGUUUUAUUCAUCCUGGUGUGUAUCCCUCCAGCCCAUCCCUAUCUCAAGUGGCUGAUAUUGCCUUCAGAAAGCAGACUCCAAAGGUUGCUCAAGUGCUGGAGGUAAGUCACUUUAAACAUCCAGAUCCUCCUUUUUUCCCCCCUUUAUUCCUGGAAAUGCUUGGGAAAGGAUCAGUCAGCCGGAUGCUCGAAGUAACUGCAUGGCAGAGCCUAAAGGAGCAGCAGGAACCAGCCGUGGACUUAUUAUGCCCUGAAAUGAAACGUUUAAAAGGAGGAAGUUGGCAGCAGGGCUUUUCUAAUCAAAAUCUAUAUAACCUGCCAUUUA